rnacentral:rRNA from 1 species
AAUCAACGCUGGCGGCGUGCCUCAGACAUGCAAGUCGAACGCGAAAGUUUCCUUCGGGAGACAAGUAGAGUGGCGCACGGGUGAGUAACACGUAGGUAAUCUACCUUCGGAUGGGGAAUAACAAUCGGAAACGGUUGCUAAUACCGCAUAAUGCAGCGGCACCUAAUGGUGACAGUUGUUAAAAGCGGGGGAGUCGAAAGAACCUCGCGUCUGAAGAGGAGCCUGCGGCGGAUUAGCUAGUUGGUAAGGUAAUGGCUUACCAAGGCGACGAUCCGUAACCGGCCUGAGAGGGCGGUCGGUCACACUGACACUGACAUACGGGUCAGAACUCCUACGGGAGGCAGCAGUCGGGAAUUUUGGG